AUGGCCUACCAAGGCUUCGACGGGUAGCCGGCCUGAGAGGGCGUCCGGCCACACUGGGAUGAGACACGGCCCAGACUCCUACGGGAGGCAGCAGUGGGGAAUAUUGCGCAAUGGGCGGAAGCCUGACGCAGCGACGCCGCGUGGGGGAUGACGGCCUUCGGGUUGUAAACCUCUUUCGGCCUCGACGAAGCCUUCGGGUGACGGUAGGGGUGGAAGAAGCACCGGCCAACUACGUGCCAGCAGCCGCGGUAAUACGUAGGGUGCGAGCGUUGUCCGGAAUUAUUGGGCGUAAAGAGCUCGUAGGCGGUGUGUCACGUCGUUCGUGAAAACCUGCAGCUUAACUGUGGGCGUGCGGUCGAUACGGGCAUCACUGGAGUUCGGCAGGGGAGACUGGAAUUCCUGGUGUAGCGGUGAAAUGCGCAGAUAUCAGGAGGAACACCGGUGGCGAAGGCGGGUCUCUGGGCCGAUACUGACGCUGAGGAGCGAAAGCGUGGGGAGCAAACAGGAUUAGAUACCCUGGUAGUCCACGCCGUAAACGGUGGGCACUAGGUGUGGGGACCAUUCCACGGUUUCUGUGCCGCAGCUAACGCAUUAAGUGCCCCGCCUGGGGAGUACGGCCGCAAGGCUAAAACUCAAAGGAAUUGACG
rnacentral:rRNA from 1 species